GACAGAGGGGGCAAGCGUUGCUCGGAAUUACUGGGCGUAAAGGGCGCGUAGGCGGCCACCGCAAGUCGACUGUGAAAUCUCCGGGCUUAACCCGGAAAGGUCAGCCGAUACUGCGGGGCUAGAGUGCAGAAGGGGCAACUGGAAUUCUCGGUGUAGCGGUGAAAUGCGUAGAUAUCGAGAGGAACACCUGCGGCGAAGGCGGCCUGCUGGGCUGUUGCUGACGCUGAGGCGCGACAGCGUGGGGAGCAAACAGG
rnacentral:rRNA from 1 species